UUACUGGCAAGCAGUGCCCGGGGCCGCUGCCAAAGGGGAAGUGAGCUAAGGCUGGAGCUAUGGCCCGGGUUUGGAGCCUGCGGCCGCCGCCGCCGCCGCCAGCGCGUCCGGAGAAGCCGCGACCCGAGCAGGGACCGGACACGCGGCUGGACUGGCCGCGGCGCGUGUGAGUUGCGGAAGUCGCCCGGCGGCAGAACACUUGACACUCGGAGCACUUCAGGCUGUCCGAGCGGCGGUCACCCCUCAUCACUGCGCCCCCUCCAGGCCCUAGCAGCAGUGCUCCGGUUCCUCUCGCGCGGGUCUCUACAAACUCAGGACAGAAGCCACGGGAAGGUGAUCAUCCCGAAUCCCAGCGGGCGUCCUGACCUGGGCGUUUUCUAGACGCCCGGGCAGUAUCUGUGUUUUCCUGUCACCACCUCUCCAGUUAAGGACUAGCGAGUUCCACUGCCUGCUCCUCAAAGUCUCCUCUCCUCCCAUUCAAAAAUUUCCUUCUGCAUUGGGAAUCUUGUCCCAGAGAUACUUAGUUUUGUGUAUCUUUUCCCAGCUUCUGGAGCACUCCUAGAAGUACUGGCUGCCCACACGACUUAGAAUCUCGUGCUUGUUUUGUUUUCUUUUUGACAGGUAAUAGUUGUUUCAGGAAUUUGUCCAUUUGGAUCUCCAGUUCCUUGGCCAUCUCUAUGUAACUUCCUCCCCCCCCCCCCCCCCCCCCCCCCCCCCCCCCAUCCACCUGAGUCCAAUUUCCUCUGGGCUCCAUUCUCCAGCCCUCAGUAGAUCUGGUCAGUCCCACCUCUGGGUGGGAGUGAUCAGGGGGCUCUGGCCCAGUAUUUCCAACCCUGGAAGGCAGCUCUAAGUCAGCGAGAGAGUUAGGUGUUGGCUACGAACCUGGCAGCUCAGGAGUGGGCCCGCCUCUCACCCCCCACAAAAAGAUGAAAAAGCGAAAAGAGCUCAAUGCUUUGAUCGGCCUGACGGGUGACAGUCGGAGAAAGAAGACCAAGCAAGGCUCAAGCAGCCACCGCCUGCUUCGCACUGAGCCUCCAGACUCAGACUCCAUGUCCAGCUCACAAGAGGAAGAGUUUGAAGCAAUUGGAAAUCGCUCUCGUUUUGUCAAGGGAGACUACAUCCGAUGCUGCAAGAUCUGCUGUCCCCUCUGUGCCUUUGUCAUCCUCGCAGCCUGCGUUCUGGUCUCUAUGGGCUUGGUGUGGAUGCAAAUGGCUCUCAAGGAAGAUCUGGUUAUCCUCAAGGAAAAAUUUAGAACAAUGGAGUCUAAUCAGAAAAGCUCAUUCCAGGAAAUCCCUAAACUUAAUGAGGAACUUCUCAGCAAACAAAAACGACUUGAGAAGAUUGAGUCUGGGGAGCUGGGCUUAAGCAGAGUCUGGAUCAACAUCACAGAAAUGAAUAAGCAGAUUUCCCUGUUGAGUUCUGCAGUAAACUACCUGAAAGCCAGUGUCAAGUCGGCCGCAGACUUACUUAGCCUGCCUAGCACUGUAGAGGGACUUCAGAAGAGUGUGGCUUCCAUGGGCAAUACUUUAAACAGUGUCCACCUUGCUGUAGAGGCAAUGCAGAAGACUCUGGAUGAACAAAAGACAGCCUUGGAGCUACUGCAGGGCAGUAUGGAGACCAAUGGAAGCAACCAAAUCUUGCCAUCGCCUUCACCUCCAUCAGAACUUGACAAUAAAACCCACAGUGAAAGUGCAAAACAGGAUAUCCUGUACCUGCACAACUCCUUAGAGGAAGUCAACAGUACUGUAGUGGGAUACCAGGAACAGAAUGACCUUAAACUCAAGGGGAUGAGUGAGACCCUCAGUAACCUGACACAGAGACUCAGCCUGAUAGAAAGCAAUGUGGUUGCACUGAGCAGGGCAGAACAGAAAACAAACGUGACUUCCAGCAUGAUGGGGAAUAGGGCUGCCACUCUGAAAAGCGAGUCUUUGGUGAACAACAGAGCUGAUACUGUAAAGAUCCAAAACAUAAAGAAGAAAGAUAAUUCAAAUUCUCAGGUAUCUGAGCUUCAGGAAAAACUGCAGCUGAUCAGUGCUCUGACAAACAAACCUGAAAGCAACAGGCCUCCAGAGACCACAGGUGAAGAGCAAGUACAGAACGUCACAUCCAAUCCUUCAAGAUUGCCAGAAUUUUCACACCUUCUUAGAGCCCAAACUGAGACCCAACUAAAACCUAUCUCCCUGCCUGGGAUUUCUAGCAUUAAAGAUCUUCAGGAUGUAUUCCAUAAGAUUGGUCGAGAUGUGGAUGAGACGCUGACCUACCAGGAACUCUGGAAUUCCCUAGGUUCUGCCAUGCCAAGACCAGAGACCUUGAGAGCAUUUGAUUCGAAUGGAGAUGGAAGAUAUUCUUUCCUGGAGCUAAGAGUGGCUUUAGGACAGAAAUCAAGCUGGAACUGGGCCAGGAGUUUCCUCCCUGAUAGCCAUCAUAAUGCAUGAAGGUAGUCUGCAGGCUGCUGGGGGAGAAAAAACAACAGUCAUCUGUGGACCCAGUGUGCAAUGCGGCUGACCAGCCAGGCCAGGUGUGCCCACUGGUACAGUAGCAGCAACUCUGACAGGAAUAACCAACCAGUUUGUUUGGAUUUGAAGCGCACUCCACAACAGGGAAUUCAUGACUAAUAUCAUAAUCCCAAUCAAAAACCUGUGGCUACGAAGAUCCUAGGCCACACCACAGAGACCCAUAAUCAGUCAAAGUGAGGGUUAAAUGUCCACCCAUAAAUGAGGCAUUUAUAUAUCCCCUCCAGGUUCAGGGAGUAUCUUAGAAGAAAGGGCAGACAAUAGAGGAGCUGCAGGAAGUCGGGGAGUAGGACAGAAGUCUGACUUUGAGCUGUUGUGGCUCUUGAAUUCUCAAACCCACUGUAGCUAUGACUACCAACAAACAUCAUGGAUCUGGAAGGAGCUGCUGGAGCCCCCUCCUCUCCCUGAGGACUUAAAUGUAGUUAAUGGGUGCUGUGGGAGUGAGUCAAUUUGUAGCCACUGGAUGGGGAGGUUCCUCAAGAGGACUCUUUGAGGUACUGAGAGAACUGAGUUCCAGAUGAGGAGAAGGCAAAGCAUGCCUGUUUGAGCAGAGGAAACAGCACGUGGAAGAAUCCAGAGCCAGGUACAGACCAGCAAAGUUAGACUUCCAUAAUCUCCCACUGCAUUGUCCCAGCUUCGAGAGUCUGAUGUCUGAGUGCAGACUGUAUUAAACAAAGUCUGGAGUCUCUGUUCCUGCCUCCGAAGGGGUUCCUAUCAACUAAGGUCCAGAUAAGGAUUUCUAUGUGACUACCCUCACAAAAGGUCUGCUUUUGCUGGCAGCAGGUGAGAUACCAUUGUAUCAAGUUUGGUUCAGCAGGUGAAGAAGAUGGUGACAUUUUGGUUUGAGAGGGGGAGAACCCGAAUAAAGACUUGUCAAGGACAAUGCCUUGUGUCUCUGAGGAAAGUAGUUCAAUUAAAUGCCAGAAAGGAA